rnacentral:lncRNA from 1 species
GACUGCUGUGACAGAGCUAGCCAAAGGAUGAUUUCCCUUCCACAAUGUGAAAUUGUUUCUAGGAAGGAGCUGUCCAGCAAGGGACUGACUAUCCCAGGAGCCUUGCAUCUAGCAGGGACAUGCCAGAGAUGAUGAUGCUCCACAGCACCAGAGUUCAAGCAAAACAGAAUGGUUGAUAUUUUUAUGUCACAUUCCUGAAGUGAGAAACUGAUUGGUCCAGUUGGUCUAUGGUAAAACACAGUAUCAUGAACAUGGACAUAGAGUCUGUCACCCUGCCCACUGUGGCUUCAGGAGUAAGAGAAAGAGCGUGAGUGGUGGAUUACAAAUAUACUU